UACAGAGGUCUCAAGCGUUGUUCGGAAUUACUGGGCGUAAAGGGUGCGCAGGCCGCGCGGGCAGUCAAAUGUGUAAUCCAGGGGCUCAACCCCUGAACUGCGCUUGAUACUUCCGCGCUCGAGCUUUGGAGAGGAAUCUGGAAUUCUCGGUGUAGCAGUGAAAUGCGUGGAUAUCGAGAAGAACACUUAGGGCGUAGGCAAGACUCUGGACAAAUGCUGACGCUCAUGCACGAAGGCUAGGGUAGCGAACGGG
rnacentral:rRNA from 1 species